rnacentral:misc_RNA from 1 species
GAUGAAGAACGCAGCGAAAUGCUAUAAGUAAUGUGAAUUGCAGAAUUCAGUGAAUCAUCGAGUCUUUGAACGCACAUUGCGCCCCCUGGUAUUCCGGGGGGCAUGCCUGUCCGAGCGUCAUUGCUGCCCUCAAGCACGGCUUGUGUGUUGGGCCUCCGUCCUCCUCCCGGGGGACGGGCCCGAAAGGCAGCGGCGGCACCGCGUCCGGUCCUCGAGCGUAUGGGGCUUCGUCACCCGCUCUUGUAGGCCCGGCCGGCGCUUGCCGACACAUCAAUCUUUUUUCCAGGUUGACCUCGGAUCAGGUAGGGAUACCCGCUGAACUUAAGCAUAUCAAUAAGCGGAGGA